GUUAAUGUAGCUUAAUUAGUAAAGCAAAGCACUGAAAAUGCAAAGAUGAGUCAUAAGACUCCAUAAACA
rfam:Canis lupus familiaris chromosome 1, whole genome shotgun sequence.